AUUGAACGCUGGCGGCAGGCCUAACACAUGCAAGUCGAACGAGUGGCGGACGGGUGAGUAAUGUCUGGGAAACUGCCUGAUGGCGGGGGAUAACUACUGGAAACGGUAGCUAAUACCGCAUACCAUCAGAUUUUCCCAGAUGGGAUUAGCUUUUUGGUGGGGUAACGGCUCACCAAGGCCACGAUCCCUAGCUGGUCUGAGAGGAUGACCAGCAAAACUGGAACUGAGACACGGUCCAGACUCCUACGGGAGGCAGCAGUGGGGAAUAUUGCACAAUGGGCGCAAGCCUGAGGCAGCAAUGCCGAGUGUAUGAAGAAGGCCUUCGGGUUGUAAAGUACUUUCAGCGGGGAGGCGGUACCCGCAGAGAAAGCACCGGCUAACUCCGUGCCAGCAGCCGCGGUAAUAC
rnacentral:rRNA from 1 species